rnacentral:rRNA from 1 species
ACGGAAGGCAGCAGUGGGGGAUAUUGCACAAUGGAGGGAACUCUGAUGCAGCAACGCCGCGUGAGGGAAGACGGUCUUCGGAUUGUAAACCUAAGUUAUCAGGGACGAAAGAAAUGACGGUACCUGAAGAGAAAGCUCCGGCUAACUACGUGCCAGCAGCCGCGGUAAUACGUAGGGAGCGAGCGUUGUCCGGAUUUACUGGGUGUAAAGGGUGCGUAGGCGGGUUUGCAAGUCAGGCGUGAAAUCCCGGGGCUUAACUCCGGGGCUGCGCUUGAAACUGUAGAUCUUGAGUGAAGUAGAGGCAAGCGGAAUUCCCAGUGUAGCGGUGAAAUGCGUAGAUAUUGGGAGGAACACCAGUGGCGAAGGCGGCUUGCUGGGCUUUAACUGACGCUGAGGCACGAAAGUAUGGGGAGCAAACAGGAUUAGAUACCCUGGUA